rnacentral:rRNA from 1 species
UGUGUGUUAGUGGAAGCGUCUGGAAAGGCGCGCGAUACAGGGUGACAGCCCCGUACACAAAAAUGCACAUGCUGUGAGCUCGAUGAGUAGGGCGGGACACGUGGUAUCCUGUCUGAAUAUGGGGGGACCAUCCUCCAAGGCUAAAUACUCCUGACUGACCGAUAGUGAACCAGUACCGUGAGGGAAAGGCGAAAAGAACCCCGGCGAGGGGAGUGAAAAAGAACCUGAAACCGUGUACGUACAAGCAGUGGGAGCACAGAGCAAUCUGUGUGACUGCGUACCUUUUGUAUAAUGGGUCAGCGACUUAUAUUCUGUAGCAAGGUUAACCGAAUAGGGGAGCCGAAGGGAAACCGAGUCUUAACUGGGCGUUAAGUUGCAGGGUAUAGACCCGAAACCCGGUGAUCUAGCCAUGGGCAGGUUGAAGGUUGGGUAACACUAACUGGAGGACCGAACCGACUAAUGUUGAAAAAUUAGCGGAUGACUUGUGGCUGGGGGUGAAAGGCCAAUCAAACCGGGAGAUAGCUGGUUCUCCCCGAAAGCUAUUUAGGUAGCGCCUCGUGAAUUCAUCUCCGGGGGUAGAGCACUGUUUCGGCAAGGGGGUCAUCCCGACUUACCAACCCGAUGCAAACUGCGAAUACCGGAGAAUGUUAUCACGGGAGACACACGGCGGGUGCUAACGUCCGUCGUGAAGAGGGAAACAACCCAGACCGCCAGCUAAGGUCCCAAAGUCAUGGUUAAGUGGGAAACGAUGUGGGAAGGCCCAGACAGCCAGGAUGUUGGCUUAGAAGCAGCCAUCAUUUAAAGAAAGCGUAAUAGCUCACUGGUCGAGUCGGCCUGCGCGGAAGAUGUAACGGGGCUAAACCAUGCACCGAAGCUGCGGCAGCGACGCUUAUGCGUUGUUGGGUA